CAUGAGUUUAUUUCUACAUUUGCUGGUCUUUUAACACAUGUCGCAUAGACUUUAAAGCUUGCAAAAGACCUGAGAUAAUUUAUUAGGUGUUCCGUUUCAUGUCAUUCAUGGCAGGGGCUUAGACAAAGCGGCUGAUCGCUGGGGGAGAUAGACGGGUGCGACUGCUUUUGAGGAGCAUGCUGUUCUUGGAAGAUAAGAUGGCAUUGAGGUUCGGUGGAAGACUGGUGUGUGGGCAUAUGGCCGCCUGACAGAAGGCGCGAGGAAAGAGAAGAGGGCCUGUUUUCUUUGCUUUGUGUUUGCUUUUCGUCUUUGCGGGUAAUGAUCAGCUGUGGCAGUCAGUCUGACUGGGACUACUUGGCCAACUCCUCCUAGGAUCAUAAACCUGACUGAAGACAGCCACAGACCUCUCUCACACACAGAGACAGAAGACGACUCAUCAACCCUGGUCCUGUUGGCAUGCUAAUACAACUGAAGA